AGUUGCAGCAAUCCUGCGGGCCAAGGGUGCUGACAGCCAGGGGCUGGUGGGGCACAGCUUGGGCUCCGGGUCUCUGGCCUCCGGUUCCCAGCACAGGGCGGAGGCGCGCUUUGCAGGGACAUUUGCAAGAAUGGCGGUGAGAAGAGAGACAGAGAUGAAUCUUGCUUCCCCCCUCCCCCCACCCUCCCACUGCUUGCCUUCGAAGAUUUAAGCAUGUGUUUGCAGUUUCAAAGCUGAUGCCUGCUGGCUGCGAGCCUGCUGGCUUUCUGCUGUUCCUCAAACACAGCACCCCUUCCCUCCUCAAGGCCUGGCCUCUUUUCCUGCUGCCUGGAUCACUCUUCCCUGGAAUCUUGGCUUCUUCUCAUUCUUCGGGUCUUGGCUCCAAUGUCAGCUCUGUGGAGAGAACUUCCUUAGUCGGCCCCUGUGCCUGGCACACAGUAGGUGCUCAACGCAAAGAUGUUGAAUAAAAGCAAUGGAGAGAAACCCCGUUCUGAGCACCUGAGUCCUGAAGGGGAAACCUGUCUUCCGGAGCCUUGGAACAUUCCCUGAGCCUUCCCCAGAGGCCCCUGGGGACUGAGUGGUGGGGGCAGCGGACACUGUGGGCACAAUUCACCCACCAGGGGCAUUGGGCAAGGCACCUGGCCCUUCUGCACCCCAGCAUAAUAAAAAUACGAGUGAGCAUUUAUGGA